rnacentral:rRNA from 1 species
UACGGAGGAUGCAAGCGUUAUCCGGAAUGAUUGGGCGUAAAGCGUCCGCAGGUGGCUGUGUAAGUCUGCUGUUAAAGAGUCUAGCUCAACUAGAUAAGAGCAGUGGAGACUACACGGCUAGAGUACGUUCGGGGCAGAGGGAAUUCCUGGUGUAGCGGUGAAAUGCGUAGAGAUCAGGAAGAACACCGGUGGCGAAGGCGCUCUGCUAGGCCGUAACUGACACUGAGGGACGAAAGCUAGGGGAGCGAAUGGG